rnacentral:rRNA from 1 species
GAUGAACGCUAGCGGGAGGCCUAACACAUGCAAGCCGAGCGGUAUUGUUUCUUCGGAAAUGAGAGAGCGGCGUACGGGUGCGUAACACGUGUACAACCUGCCUUUAUCUGGGGGAUAGCCUUUCGAAAGGAAGAUUAAUACUCCAUAAUAUAUUGAACGGCAUCGUUUAAUAUUGAAAGCUCCGGCGGAUAGAGAUGGGCACGCGCAAGAUUAGCUAGUUGGUGAGGUAACGGCUCACCAAGGCGAUGAUCUUUAGGGGGCCUGAGAGGGUGAUCCCCCACACUGGUACUGAGACACGGACCAGAAUCCUACGGGAGGCAGCAGUGAGGAAUAUUGGGCAAUGGGUGCAAGCCUGAACCAGCCAUCCCGCGUGAAGGACGACUGCCCUAUGGGUUGUAAACUUCUUUUGUAUAGGGAUAAACCUACCCUCGAGAGGGUAGCUGAAGGUACUAUACGAAUAAGCACCGGCUAACUCCGUG